AAACUGAAGAGUUUGAUCCUGGCUCAGAUUGAACGCUGGCGGCAUGCCUAACACAUGCAAGUCGAACGGCAGCGCGGGAGCUUGCUCCUGGCGGCGAGUG
rnacentral:rRNA from 1 species